GUGGGUGUAGUGCAACGGUAGCACGUCAGCUUGUGGAGCUGAAAACGGGGGUUCAAUUCCCCUCACCUACC
rfam:Microgenomates (Amesbacteria) bacterium GW2011_GWC2_47_8 TY11_C0008, whole genome shotgun sequence.